rnacentral:rRNA from 1 species
GACGAACGCUGGCGGCGUGCUUAACACAUGCAAGUCGAACGAGAUCCAUGGUGUAGCAAUACACCGGAAGAUCUAGUGGCGAACGGGUGAGGAUCACGUGAGAAACCUGCCCCGGACUUUGGGAUAACAAGUGGAAACGCUUGCUAAUACCGAAUGACGUCGGAGAACCGCAUGGUUCACUGACGAAAGGAAUUCCGGUUUGGGAGGGUCCCGCGGCCUAUCAGCUUGUUGGUGGGGUAAUGGCCUACCAAGGCAACGACGGGUAGCUGGUCUGAGAGGAUGAUCAGCCACACUGGGACUGAGACACGGCCCAGACUCCUACGGGAGGCAGCAGUGGGGAAUCUUGCGCAAUGGGCGAAAGCCUGACGCAGCAACGCCGCGUGCGGGAUGAAGGCCUUCGGGCUGUAAACCGCUUUCAGCAGGAACGAAAAUGACGGUACCUGCAGAAGAAGGAGCGGCCAACUACGUGCCAGCAGCCGCCGUAA